rnacentral:sRNA from 1 species
CUUGGAAACAGUUUGAUCUUUUCUACCCCUGUUUUUAGGAAUUGCUAGAUAGACCAGAGUAGUUUUAGUCAUGGGCUAAUUAUUCAUUACUACUGAAGCAAGACCCUUCUGAAUACCAUACUCAAUGCCACGUAAAUCUUGAGGUUUUCCAGUCUUUCUGGUGGAUGGCAAGCACUAUUCUCCCCAGUGAGUGCUCACUAGGUACCAUUUUGGGUGGUCCUUUCUCUGGUCGUAGGUAGUAUCUUUACAUGAAUGCAUUUACCCAUACUCAGAAUGAGGGACAUUUUGUAGAAAUCUGAAGUUCUCUCUCUGCACAGCUCUUUCCUUUCUGGUACUCUGUUCUGUGAACUCAAGCUGUUUUGAUCUCCUCAGACCCUCCAUUUCAUUUCCUCAGCUCAUAGAGUCUUCUACACUCCACCUGGGUUCCCCUGUCUGUUCUGUGACCUUGAAACUCCCUUAAGGUAGUAAGGUAGAGGAAUCAUAGAGUCCACAUCACUUGUUUCACAUAUCUGAGGGCUCAGUAUCCUGCAUUGCCUGAUGACUCAGUGUCUUAAAAACUAUUGUUCAUAUAUUUUGGUUUUUUUUGUUGUUGUUUCAGGUGGAAGAGUAAACUGUUCCCGUUUCUCCAAAUUGACAGGAAGCAGAAGUUCUCCUUAGCUGAUUUUUCUUCUUGCCUUAUACUGGGUUCUUUAACACCAGAACAAAAAUAAAUAAAUAAAAGAAUCUUCCAGAAAUUCAUGAAGAGACUUCAGGUCAGGAAAGCCUGAACUUUCUCAUCUAACACCUGUUCAAGUCGGAGGAUGCUGAUUA